UGUGCCUUUUAAAAAUCUUGGAUAUAUCUUCUAAUUUAAAAUUGAUUAUUAAGGAAUUUAUAUUCAUAAUUGUAAUAAGAGAAUAACAGUUAAAUAACACUAUCCUGCCUGUAUAGCCCAUAGAAUUUGGGGGAGGAGGGGAGAGAUGGGAUAGAUAAAAAUGUACAGAAAAAUGUAGACAUUUUAAGAAGCAAUUUUAAGAUUAGAAUUAGUAUUGUCUAUGGAAGAAAUAACCUUAGUACAUAAAUUCAGAAAAGGGAAUGCACCAAAUAGCAACAAAAGGGAGAAAAAUCUAAGUGCCAAGUUCUGGCAGAAUAAGAUCUAUCUGUGAAUGAGAAACUUGGUUUAAGGCGCACCCUUCCCCAUGCUUGCCCCUGUCCCCAAUAGCAAGCAAAAGUCUGAACAAACAAAAGCAAAUAUAGUUCUGAUCAAAUCUUGGUUAUACCCAGAGAACUAUUGGUUUAAGGGAUGCGUUUGCUAGGAAGUUUUGCAGGUGAUACAUGCUGAGUCAAAAAUUGGAUUGAAUUGGUCAGCUACAAUAGUAUGAAAAUAGCAUUGAGGUUAAUUGGAAGACUAAAACUUAGAAUGCUAGAAGAUAGAAAUGAAGUAACAAAAAUUAUCACGUAAUAAGUUGUCUUUGUUGCUGAUAGGUUACAUCAUACUAAAACAGCCUUUGAAGGGCUCGGGCUCUGACCUCUUAAGUCAGUGACCAGCGUUUAGCCUUAAUAUCCAUAUAGCAGGAUGAAAUCCUGAAAUGAAGAUUAAGUCAAGUCAAUUUGACAUUGCAAUGACAAAAGGAAGCAAUAUUAAAUCUAUAAACAAAGAAGCUCUCAUCUAGAGUAGAUCUUGUGUAAAUAAAUAUAAGGAAUAUGAACUUAGAUGCCCUGAACACUAGCAACAAGGUAUUAAAGCUUCUUAAAAACAAUUUUUUUUGAGGAAGUGCAUAAAAUUGUUCUAGGAAACAUAGUUAAUACUGUAAAAUAAGUGUUUUAUCUGGGGGUUUUAUACUCACGGACAGAUUGUGGGAAUUGAAUGACAUGUUUUUCUAUAAACUUGCUCAUUAACAAAUUGGCUUUUUAUCCUAGGACCAUGUCUAUAAUGGCUUCCAUUGCACAAAUAAAAGUGAUAAUAUACAGAUUUCCAGGCAGUAAUGUAGACAUCUUGGAUAUAAAGACCUGAUUAUAAAUCUGUAAGAAUAUAUUUGAUUUUUUUUUAAAGCCAAAACUAGAAUAAACUUUAGUGAGGAAGGGAUAAACAUCUCUUAGAGCCCAAGUCUUAAUGUCUAGUAUUCAAUAUAAUAAAUGGAUAUAUCUUUAAGAAGUUUUCAUAAUUUUCCUCCUACACAUAAUUGUAAAAUUCUUAUUUUUAAAAAGUGGAUGGAACUUCGAGAAUAAUUAGCUACUACCCAAAUCCCCAGUAUAUUCAUUGAGAUAUACCCCUGGAAAGAUGAACACAACAUUCUAUCUAAAGCCAUUUUUCCCUAAAAUUCUUUCUUGAAUCUGAACAGUUAUUCAUUGUUCACACUUCUGGAGCUCUAAGAUUGAGGUGUCCAGAGUUCGUGAAAAGCUGGGCUUAAGUUUUAACAUUUUAGUAAUAGUUAAUAAAAGCAAGGAGAUUACGUUAACGCCUGGCCUGGCACUAGGUUGCAAUACCUAUGCACUGGGACUCAUACCUAAGCAUGAACUAUUAAGGGACUGCUAACAUUAAGUGCUUUGAGCCAGAAUCUAUUACUGCUUGAAAUGGCUAAACAGUAAUUUGAAUUUAUUAGUCAUAUAAACCACAAGUUUCUUAAAAUCGUUAAUUGCCUAAACUUAACUGUUCAGUUAAACUGCAGUACCCUUUGUGUCUGGAGAGUCUUUUCCCUGUAAUUCUUAGCUUUGAAAAAGGUUUUUUGGGGGACCAUAGCUGUGAUUUCUCAUCUUGUGCAUUAAAACAUGAAAGUGGUAGAGCUAGCUAGUUUAGUACUUGAGGUUUUAGUUACAUAGGCUACUCUUGAGUCCUCCCCAGUUUUUUUCCCCUACCUAGUGCUAGUUAUUACAGGUACGUGUUUGUAAGACAAAAGUACUAGGCCCAGCUAACUCAUGUUGGAGUGGCCUUUGUCUUAUUAACCCUUGUUACUAAUCUUGAUAAUUAAAAUAAGCCUUUGAGAAUUUGGAAGUGAGCUGCAGUACUGAUUGAAGGUAAUGUGUUUCCCUUGAAUGUGUUGGGGUAGAGAAAGAUUAAAAUCCAGGAGUGCCCAGGUAUCUUCCAAAGCUCAAAUUAUGUAUGUUUGUGAAAUUGAAAAUUAACCUACCUUUAAUAUGUAGUUUUUGUUAUGUUUUCCUAAAUGUGUUUCCUAGUUUGUCAAUUUCAAAUCAGGCAGAACAGCUGGACCUUGGAAAAUAGGAGCUUAUGUGAAAAAUAGCUAUUUUUUAAAAAAAAAAUUAGGUUGUUGAGAAUGUACUUUAACAUACUAGCCAAUUGAUUAAAAAUACAGGUGAUUGAAUAAGUUUAAUUGCCCAAGGAACUUCAUUUAGUCUCUAGGGGAAUAGUAGUUUGGAAAUAGAUGGAAGAAUUAUAUUCAUAACGUUAACCUAAGAUUAUUCAGGAAAUACAACAUGCAGUGGGUGGGAUCAAUGGUGAUUGUAAGCCCGGUGUUGGUAGGGUAAAAAAUGUUGACAACUGAUAGAUCAGGACAUCAGUAAUCACUGCUUGGUUAGGUAAGUUAUUCAGACAAGGAAUUUAACCAUAUGUUUUAUUUGUAAUUUUAUGAUUAUUGCUUAGGAAUGUUUUAAUUUCUUUUUCAUGUCAGGAAUCAGCAUAUAGUUGCAUCUUGACAAGGAACAGGUUUUGCUUUUGAACAAGGCUGAAUGUGUUGGUAUGAGAAAAACUACUGUAAUUGAAAAAAGAUGAGGCAAUGACAGUCUAGGCUAGUCUCUAAUCUAGAGAGAUGUCUUCUAGAACGGUUCACUUUUCGUUGCAUUGUUAGUCACUGCUGUGCCAAUGGCAUAGUUACUCAUGAGCAUGUCCAGCUUGAGUAGCUAUAAUACUGGAAGUUAUGCAGGACCACAAGCUGGAGAGCUAACAUUGCAUCUAAUGAAAGCUGAACUGUUUUUGGCAUGUUCUUUCCUGCUUCUCCUUUAAGUUCCGUUCCAUGAUCUUACAGGAAGGAAAAUCAAUUUUGUCUAGUAAAAUGUUCUAUACUUGGCAAACAACUUGAAUCAUUGCCACAAAUUGGUAUCAGCCAAAAAAGUUUUUUAAAAAUUUAAAGGUCACUGAGAACAGAGAUGGGUAGUAUAGACAUCUAAUUUAUAAGUGUGAUAUAAAUGCUUCAAAGGUAUAAAAGCAUACAUAGAGAAGACAAAAAAAUACUUCAAGAUGAUUAGGCAUAUUUGAAUAGCAACUAUAACGGGGUAAGUUUUCAAGGUAGUCUUGCAUCUUAUUUGUAUGUAGUUAAGGGAGAUGGGGGAGUCAUGGUCAAGUACAAGAACAAAAGUUUCCAACUUACUAUUUAAAAAAUCAUUAAACAAAAAAUUGUGCUGAUUUAAAUUUCAUCUCCUUUUCCUUAGUCUGUCCAUGUGAAUGUGCUGUGUGGAAGAGUUAAAGGGCCCAACUAAAUGUGUUCCAGUGAUUCCAAUAGCUAUUUAGCUGGUACCUACUGCUAUAUCACCUAGUGUGAAAUUUCGGAAUUGAUGGAACAAUGAAGGAAGCAGCACGUAGGAUACUCCGAGUGGGCCUGGAAGGUCUCCAGUUGAUGCAGUCAUUUCUACUGUGAAAAUGAACUUGACCUUGUUUGUGGAGGCAUUGGGAUUUUACCAACCAAGAGAGCUGGCUGGUGCAGGGAUGGAAUCCCGGACCCUUGGUGUUAAUCAGCACCGUGCUCUAACCAAGUGAGCCAACCGGUGCCAGCCCAGCACUAGGUUUUAUAAUUCUUCAUCACACUGCCAGUAAACUCUGUCUAUAUUUUAAGUAUGACAGGUCCACUGUAUGUUAACACAUAAGAAUGCUAUACUGGCAGUAGAUACAGAGCCAGAAUAAAUUGUCAAGUACGGGCGGGAAAAAGACUACAAUUUACACAUAUUUUUAUUUACUUGAUUAAGAGCUUUCUUAAUGUACACAGAAUGCUUUAUCUGGUUGGUCUUAGCUUUGUUCACACUGACUUCAGGGAGUUGUAUUUUGGUUUUCUACACUCAAGAAUGCUCAGUUGCUGUGGUUGCCGUUGGUUGGUUUUCUUUCAGGAUCAAGGUGGGUGCUUUCAUAUAAUAUCUUAUUUUUAAUUCCUUCUCUGGCAAUUCUUUGCUGGAUUCUCAGCUUUGCAUAAUUAUACCUACAGUGGAACCUUGUAAGAAGAGAAUAUGAAUAAAUCAUUAAUGUAAAAGUUCCUGUUGAUUAUGUAAUUACUGUAUUUAUAAUCAUAAAAUUUUUUAAGUGCUUACAGAUGACAAUUCUGAGACUUGAAAAUAUGGAUGUUCUAAUUUGGAGUGCUGUUUUUGGGUGGAUUGGUGCCAAAAUACUUAUGAACGCACUCUUGUUUAUUAAGGUAUGUCUACAAAAAAUAAGGACUUACUUUUUAGCCAUUGGUAGAACUUCGUGUAUAAAUGGAACCACACGGUAUGUACAUAUAAUAUGUACUCUUAGGUCUGGAUUAUUUUGCUCAAGAAAACAUAUUUGAGAUUCAUCCGUGUUUUAUAUUCAUUCAUCAACAGUUAUGAACACAUUGUUAAGAGUAGCAUUUUCAGAUGUGAUGCAUAAGCAGGGAGGAAGUUUAAGUGAAAGUAGAAGGUCGAGACCUUCCUAAGUGAAACGUAGAAACCAUAUUAAUGGAAUGCUUAAUGUCCUGCAUUCGUCUGUUCAAGCAUUCAGUGGAUUUUCUUGAAUACUAAGCAAACAUACCAGCAUCCUAAAGUCACCAAGAUAAAUCCUCCUACUCCAACAUCACAUGAUCUUCUAAUUCUACCUGUUAAAAAUAAGCAUAGCUACUAUAAUUAAUUAGAAUAUGGUUACAUAUUAUAUGCUGUAUAAAUUAUUGUUUUAUACUCCAUUUAGGAAGAAAAUGUUUAUCACACUCAAAUAAAAAACACAGAUACUUACUAGUUAACAAGAAAUGUCCAAGGCCAGCCACAACAGAUCCCAAUGAACCAUACAGUAUCGAAUCUCGUGCACAAGGAAUGUUUUCGACAUCUAAAAUUCCUAGGAGCUUAAAGGGCUAGGAUAAAAUAAAAGAUAACCUAGAUUGAACAAGAAAAUAUUUUAUUUCAGGGUGGCCUGGCAAAGACUACAAUACAAAUGCCAUAUUUAUAUAUGCCACGUGACAACCUUGAGUCAGUUUAAAUUCAAACCUAUGAAUUGUCUUUGAUUGUCCUGCUUUGGUAUACAACCUGAAUCUUUAAAUUAGAAACCUUGGAAAAUUGACCAGAAAGCCCCAAACAGGAUAACUUGUAUCAUAAUUGCUAAUAGACUGACUUGGAAGUAUGUAUUAUCUUAUGAGCUCUUUAUUUGGCAAAUUUAGCUGUCACUGAAAUUAAAAAGCAGCAUUAAUUUGCUCCAAUAACUCAAGAAGUGUAAGUGAAAAAAGUCAUUUGAGCCAUGUUUGCUUAUAACAUUAAUGUAGUGCUGUUUUAAAUUUCUCUUGACAACUUUUAUUUUCAGUUUUUAUUGGUGUCAGCUAGGUGAACAUCGAUGGUGGUCAUAAGAUAAAUAUUUCAUGUUAAAUGUGAGCAGUACGUUUAUCUCUUCUAGUCUGUUUCCUUGCCUAUGACAUGAGGUUGUACUUAAUUACACUGUUCAUGGUACAUGGUAACCACAGCUAAGUGUGGUGAAAAAAGUCUGGGACUCCCGAGAGCUGAAUUUUUGUCUCAGUUCUGCCACUAACUUCUGUAACUUAUAGGUUAUUCUUAUCUUUGUGGCCUCAAUCUGGAAAAUGAACGGGUUGAGCUACAUGAUUAUUAAGUUCUUUCGAGUACUAAAAUGACUUCUUUUUCUACAGUCUUCACUGGAUUAUGGACUUGGAUGUCUGUCACUCUCUUAACUAUUUUAGUGUGGGCAGGACGGACCAUGUUUAGCAGUCAAACUUAUGUUUAACUGGCAUUUCUGUUAAUAAAGUCUUAGAAAGCGUUUUUGGUAA